CGGCUCAGAAAAUGGAUGGAUGGAUGUAAAUAUCUGAUGGCCAAAGAAGUCGGCGGUGUGGGACAGCACGCCCGCGAACCUAGUGAGGAUAAGCGGAACGGAAGAUGAAUGAAUGAAUGAAUUUCAAUUGAGUUGUACAGGUUCAUAAGUCACAUUAAUGGUGGAAAAAGUUUUGAAAUGAUCUGUCUUGGACUAAUUUUCUGAUGCAAUUGGACAAUUUUGCAUCAGUGCUACCAGGGGGCCACAUAAGACUGUCCACUUCCUAACCACAAAUAUGACAAAAAUGCUGUUUUAAAUAAGGACAAAAUAUGUACAUAUUUUUAUUGAAUCUAUGUACAGCACAGUAUCUUAAUAUAUUUUAAUGCUCAAAUGCAUCUAUAAAAAAAAUCUAGUCUUCGACUACAAAGGGAUUCCCCCCCCCCAGUGCAAUAAAAAACACUAUUCAAAGAUGGCAGAAAACUGCUGAACAGCAAACCAAAAUAAAGUGCAAUAACUAAUUUUCUGCAUUUUUUCAAAAUCAUAAAUUCACUUAAAGAUUUUAAUAUUAUACGUUAGUCCUGCAUGUCAUUAAAAAUCCACAAAUUAACAAACCGACUCACUCACUCACUUGUAUGAUAGAGCAGAAAAGUUCACUCUGCUUUGUUGUCGCCAUCCAUUCGUAACAGCCGCUUGUCCAAGCCUCCGUACGCGUUUGCAACACUACUAACAGCGCUGAAUACAAGUAUGUCCAUGUUUUUUAGAGGGGAUACAUUUGAGUAACUCCUCAUGCACUUCAAAUGCACUGUCAACGAUUCUUGCGGGGGGGAAAUUGCUGUUGUUUGGCUGAUAGUGUCUUUAUGUAAACUAGGCACAUAGGUUUGCCUUUUAAUUCGGUGAACACAUAAUCUGCUUCCAAUUUUACCUGGAAGACACCAUUUUCUUGAUGUAAUUUGCUCGCCGUUCCGUGCCCUGCCUUCUGCUCUGACAGAAGAGACACAGUGAAAGCAGUAGCAAGCAAUGUCUGCCGUGUAGAGGAAAAUAUGUUUAUCAUUUUCCAAAAUGAAUCGAGGGCCACUCCGAGUGUGGGUGCGGGCUGCAUGCGGCCCGGCGGCUGCUAGUUGCCCAUAUGUUUUAUAGACUUUCUUUUCUGUUUUGGAAAGGUAAGACACUGUGGCUGUGUUGCCAUGGUAACCCAAACAUUGACAGUCGUCGUGUCCCUGAAUGAUGAUGUCACAGCAUCCCAUCAAGGGCAUCUCAACCCUUCCAGUGAUGAAUGGGUGGAAUGCUUGCACGGGCUGCCUAUGGCCCACGGGCCGUAGCUUGCCCACCCAUCUUCGUCAUGUACCAAACGAAAUGUCCGUUGAGACAAAGGAUGAAUGAAUGCGAGUUAGACAGCGGCGGCGGCGGCGGAGGAGACGUCACAUGAUGCUUCUGCAGUGCAUCAAGGGAACUGGCCCGUCUGUGACUCAUCCCGUCAGGAUGGGGAGGGGAGCGUGAUGGAGGGAAGAGGAAGAAGAAGAAAAAGAGGAGUGGACAACUUGUGGCCCUGAUGGUCUCCCUUCUUUAUCUAGCUCCUCUCCUUGGACGUUUCAUUAGGUACACCGCCACAAUACAGUGACAACCCAUGGAAUAGGGUGUUUGAGGUUGGAUACCCCAACAUGUAUGCAUGACAAAAGAUACGGUAUCAUAUUUGAGUAUUUCCUCAAUUAGUGGACAAGUGGUUGCCUACUAAGCCAUACCCAUACAGUGUAUAUAGAUUGUGUUUUGGAACAAUACUGAACUAUAUAAUUUCAUAUAGACCUGUGGCUAAAAAGCAAAGUGUGGAGAGUCUCUGUUGCUGAAAUGCACAGGUGCAAGUCAUUUAAUAGGAGUGAUUGAUCAUUGCCAACCGCCUCUCAAAAAAGUAUUUUAUUGUCAUCCAUUUCCUCUAUUUGAGGCAAUCUGCUUCUUCCUUGACAAUCACAGCAUGUUUUUGUGGUUCAAAACCCAUAAAAAAAACUAUCGCUUAACAAAAGCCUGUUUUAGAGAUCCCCGAAUGCACCCGUGUCUCCCCUCUGCAAAAGCACUUCCUGAUCCUGCAGUCACGUGACCUCUGCCACUUCCUGCUUCCUAUUACGCUAACGUUAGCCUGUUUGAGCCCCUGGAGAUUGUUUGUCAAAUAUGGUGAAGGAAAAUUAUCUUCUUUUUGUCUUGUUUACCACCAAAAAGCAUGUUUAAACUGUUUUCCUGCCACGUACAACAGUCUUUUGUUAAGUUGCCAAGUGUGGUUGUGAUUUUCCGUUCGCUUGAAUGUGCUGUUCAGUCUACUGACAUGACUAUUAUU